GAAUGGGCCCGCGUCGAAUUAGGUAGUUGGUGAGGCGUCGGCUCACCAAGCCGACGAUCCGUAGCUGGUUUGAGAGGAUGAUCAGCCACACUGGGACUGAGACACGGCCCAGACUCCUACUGGAGGCAGCAGUGGGGAAUAUUGGACAAUGGGGGCAACCCUUAUCCAGCCAUGCCGCGUGAGGGAUUAAGGCCUUAGGGUUGUAAACCUCUUUCAGCGGGGAAGUAUAACGACGGUACCCGCAGAAGAAGCCCCGG
rnacentral:rRNA from 1 species